rnacentral:sRNA from 1 species
GCCGGGAGCGGUGGCGCACGCCUGUAACCCCAGCGGUUUGGGAGGCGGAGGCAGGAGGAUCGCGAGUUCAAAGCCAGCCUCAGCAACUUAGCGAGACCCUGUGUCUA